rnacentral:rRNA from 1 species
AUUGAACGCUGGCGGCAUGCUUUACACAUGCAAGUCGAACGGCAGCGGGGGCUUCGGCCCGCCGGCGAGUGGCGAACGGGUGAGUAAUGCAUCGGAACGUGCCCAGUCGUGGGGGAUAACACAUCGAAAGAUGUGCUAAUACCGCAUACGUCCUGAGGGAGAAAGCGGGGGGAUCUUCGGACCUCGCGCGUCUGGAGCGGCUGAUGGCAGAUUAGGUAGUUGGUGGGGUAAAGGCUUACCAAGCCUGCGAUCUGUAGCUGGUCUGAGAGGAUGAUCAGCCACACUGGGACUGAGACACGGCCCAGACUCCUACGGGAGGCAGCAGUGGGGAAUUUUGGACAAUGGGGGCAACCCUGAUCCAGCCAUGCCGCGUGAGUGAAGAAGG